rnacentral:rRNA from 1 species
AGGACGAACGCUGGCGGCGUGCUUAACACAUGCAAGUCGAGCGGUAAGGCUCCUUCGGGAGUACACGAGCGGCGAACGGGUGAGUAACACGUGAGUAACCUGCCCCAUUCUUUGGAAUAACCAGUGGAAACGCUGGCUAAUGCCGAAUACGACCACCGAAGGCAUCUUCUGGUGGUGGAAAGCUCCGGCGGAAUGGGAUGGACUCGCGGCCUAUCAGCUUGUUGGUGAGGUAAUGGCUCACCAAGGCGACGACGGGUAGCCGGCCUGAGAGGGUGACCGGCCACACUGGGACUGAGACACGGCCCAGACUCCUACGGGAGGCAGCAGUGGGGAAUAUUGCACAAUGGGCGAAAGCCUGAUGCAGCGACGCCGCGUGAGGGAUGACGGCCUUCGGUUGUAACCUCUUCAGCAGGACGAAGCGCAAGUGACGGUCUGCAGAAGAGCGACCGCUAACUACGUGCCGAGCAGCCGCGGUAAUCG